AUUGAACGCUGGCGGCAGGCCUAACACAUGCAAGUCGAGCGAGCGGCGGACGGGUGAGUACUGUAUGGGGACUGCCCGAUAGAGGGGGAUAACUACUGGAAACGGUAGCUAAUACCGCAUACUAUCGGAUAACCCAUAUGGGAUUAGCUGGUAGGUGAGGUAAUGGCUCACCAAGGCGACGAUCCCUAGCUGGUCUGAGAGGAUGAUCAGCAACACGGGGACUGAGACACGGCCCAGACUCCUACGGAGGCAGCAGUGGGGAAUCUUGCGCAAUGGGCGCAAGCCUGAUGCAGCCAUGCCGCGUGUAUGAAGAAGGCCCUAGGGGUGUAAAGUACGUUAAGCGGGGAGGCGGUACCCGAAGAGGAAGCACCGGCUAACUCCGUGCCAGCAGCCGCGGUAAUAC
rnacentral:rRNA from 1 species